rnacentral:lncRNA from 1 species
CGCUCAGUGACACCCUGAUGCCGGUUUUUUUGAAGUGUUGCCCUUCCAAUGAGCCGGUCUACACAUAUUUAUUGAGGAAAUCAAGGGACAUUUAUAUACGAAUGUCAAUCCUGCUCAAAUUGAAGUAACAAAACGAUUUUGAGCUGAGAAUGCCCAGCAAGAACCGCAUUGUCCCUGAUCUUUGACGCGCGAAACGGCACCGCUUUUUCUCCAAUCGACUUGGUCCGGAAAUUCAACAUUCGCAGGCGGUAUGAAAGUUCUGCGGGCCGGUUUUUCCUCUGAGCUCAGAGGCUCGUCCACCGCUUGUUUCAAACCAUUCAUCAUUCGCACGAACUCGUCAUGACGCUAUUCAGAGAAAUAAAUAAAGUGCAACGUUACACUCGUAACCGCAGUUAAUCGUCAGGAAGUCGAUUAUCGCACUAAUCAACAACAAACACAUUGUUUGUGGCAGAUUGUCCAUGGAUAUGAAGAUAAAUUGAUCAAUAUCUCAUUCAAGUACAUGCAGUUCGGAAAUGAUAAAGACUGAUCGAUCAAUGUCAAUGAAUUCUGGCAGAAAAACUAAACUAAAACUUUUUUAUCACUAUUUUGGUGUUUAUCACCGUUUUUACACAUCAAUUUAUUGAAGUGAAAUAUGCAAUGGAAAUGAACAGCUGUGGGAAGCCACUGAAAUAACUUGACCAUUGAUCAUCACCUCUGUAGGGUAUGAACGUGCCAAUGAAAACAGCAGAAAAACAAGAACAUUUUUAUCUUCAAUUGCAAAGAAAAUUAGUAAAAGUACCUUAAAAGCGGUCCAUUCAGCUUUGAGAAGAUCCAACGUUGCGGCAGCUUGCGCCACGGCCAAAAUCGCCAUGAAAGCAACAAUAAGAGUCUUCAUGGUUGUUUGUCUUUCGUCUAAAAAAAAAAAAUGAGACACAGCAAAUAAACUCAACGAGGGAUGAAGUUUUGCUAUACAAUGGUUUCAACGACGGGACGCAAAAAUCGUUCGACUCGUGUUUGAGAUAAAUUUACUCACCAGACGGAGGAAAAGAAUCGAAUUUCUGAUGGAUUCCACAGCGAAUUUGAGCAGCGCUCGAAAAUCGCUGAACUCGCAACUGUGAUCUCGAUCCUCGACGGGUUUGGUUUUAAGGGUUUACCACCACCUCCUCUUCCGUGUUAUUUCCUCAUCCUAUUCUAAUCAACCAGUUUGAUCGUGUAUCACUCCGAAGAUGUACGAUGGCCCUUGAUCGCAUAUCAAUCGAUCAAUCUUUCAUUUGAUCUCCAGACGAUCUUCUAAUUCUAAUCCAAUUACGAAACAAUGCUAUCGUUUGAUUUCUUCACCAUCCGAGAAUCAAAGCGCUUAUCAAAUUUAAGGUUUUUCCUUGAAAUUUGAUUUCAAGGAAUCUUGAGCGACCAUAGCGACACGUGUCCAUGAGCCUGGGCACGUGUCACAUGUUGUGCAAAAAACAAAUUUUGUCAUCGAACAUGUUCAAUAAAAGUACGGAAGACAUUGAGCUUGAAAACGAAGGACGCGUGAGUUGAUAACGUGGGAAAACAUCUUCAGAAGAUUUUUUUAUUUCUGUCUUUAAAAUCGAUUUUUUCAAUAAGAUUCGACAUUUCAAUGAGAAGUUGAUAGCUUAUCGAAUGGAGUUCCAGCACUGGGUUGUUUCCAUGGUUCGAACUAACGAGAUGGUGACACCUAAGGCUCUACCAACCUGGCCGACAUAGGACUUGAUCAACAGUUCUGUUGACAAACACAUGAAAUUUUCUUCCGAUGCAGAAUAAAACUAUUGAAAUUUCGUACGUGUAAUGCAUGAGCAAAAAACUCGACAGCAGGCUGCGGAUUCAUUCUGGAGAGAAUUUGCGCUGCGUCUCAUCAUAAGGCGACGAUUUACUAUCGACGAAAUCGGAUGAAAGAAAAGAAACGAAGACCAUUGAAAUGAAGUGAACAAGCAGUCAAACGCAUCAGGAUUUUUCAUCGACUGACGUCACAACUUAAUCAAUUUCUACUCGAGUAGAAGACUGAAUCGGCAAUCGAGCAUGAAGCGAGACUCAAUCAUCAGACCCUUUCUAUUUUGAUUCACGAACAUCGAGCAGAAUAAGGAAAAAUAACGAAGGCCCACCAAGUUGGAAGGUGAAAACCUUCCAAUGGAUCUGAGUUACAAAAAUAGGCUAAUUUCGAUCUUCAUACGGUUUGCAUAAACAUAAGAAUUUGUCCGUUUUCCGAAGACGAGGGUAAUAGAGCCGGUUGGCUCGAAAUUCGAUACCUUCUUCAACAAGUUAUUACGAAAAGGUCUCAAAGCAUUAAGAUCUAUGAGCCGUGGAAUUCAACGCAAUUUGUUUUCCUUUUUUCUCCAAAACAGUGCAAAGGAUGAUUUCAGCCAAUCAAAAACUUCACAAGGCUGAAAAAUGUCAGAACUCAUUUGAUCGUCAUGAAAUUCUGUUCGUGCAGUUCGAAGUGGAUUCAGGAUAGCUAAAUUAACGAACGAGCAGCAUGUAUUCAUAGAGAAUAUCGUGUUACUCUUGGAAACGUGCAAUUACGUUUUAACUCUAGAAGCAGAACAUAAUAAAUGAACAAAACGAUUGUAAACUACCGAAAAGUUUUCUUUUUUAGUUAGUUUUCAACACACUUUAUAGGAUGAUUUUUGUCAGACGAUUUCGCAAUAAGUGUCUCUAUUUUAGAAUGAGUUGAAUAUUAGGAAAUAGCUUAUUAAUCAUUGAAGAGUUCGUUUCCUGCCUAACGUUUCAGAGAUAACGAAUGCUGAUCGACUAACGAUAGUGAAUCGGAGUAGUCAGGAACACAUUUGAAAUCGUCGAAUUAGUAAAUCUUUUCUUAUCUGUAUCGAUCCGUUGAUUAUGUGUUGCGAAGCACUAGGACAUAUAUUUCGUAUAGAAAAAUUAUCUCGCGAACCGGGUUUUUCCAUUUUUAUUGCUCCAAUCAAUUUAUUUAAGAACGCCUCGAUAUUUUUCCAUGAUUUCGAACCCGAUAAAUUGGUAAACUUCUUUUCGAUCUUUUCUCACGAAUCAACGUGAAUUUCUGCGUGAAGCUGCACUGCCCACAGUCUAGUGACUCUUCGUUUAAUUCGGUGUCGAUCCACUUGUAGGAAAGUGAUUAUUAUGAUCCGGUGAAAUCACACGAGGAAGAAAAAUACUUUGGUGGAGCCCCAUUAAACUUUAAAGAGACCCAAAGCCACGGCGGCCUGCGCCACAGCGAAAAUGGCCAUGGAAACAACCAUAAAACUCUUCGUUUGCUUUUUUUUUCUGCAAAAAUAGGAAAAAGAGUGUUUUAUAAAUAUCAUCGAUAGAAAUUAUGAGUUCCCGGAUGAGUCCGCGGUAGUUCAUUCAUAACUUGAGUAUUAAAGUCGUAAUCAUAAAUUCGAAUCAUCAAUUUUAUCAGUAGUUACAAGUGCGUCGAGGACACAGAUAAUGUCAAAGUCACCGAUAAACCAUUUUAUAGGACUAUAGUUCAAGCUGAUUUUUAUUUUAUUGCACUUCUAGUAUUUCGGGAUUUUAAUUCUAUAUUUCAGACAAGCUGGAGCACUUAGUUCCAAGAAAAAUUUAUUUUAUUCGUUGUUCGAACAUUUAACGUCAUUCAAUUAAUCAAAAACUUCCAUUAAAAAAAAACUUUCGAACGCGACCAAUUAUUGUCUCUUGUGACGGUACAAGCUGCUCGACAAGCCCUGUAGGCUGGAAUAGUUUUCCGCGCACUAAUUCUAAAAAAACUAUUCGGUGUACGAGGAGUAGAGGUUUUUAUGAAUCGUGUUACAUCGAUGUCAAUCAAUGUUCUUACAACAGUCAAAUUAAUAUUUUCUUUGUAGAGUGACUUUUUGAAGCAACACGAAAAUCGUAAGAAUUUGGGUUGCGUUGUUUUCACUGAUCUGGCAGGAGACAAAGAUCACUCGGGUGCUCGAGCGUCGAAGAAACGAAUGGAGGGUCACACAACGUUCAAAUCGUAGUCACCAUCCCUGUCAAAAUUUAUUUCAAGGGCUUGCCACUUCUUUUCUCUCUUCCCCUUUCUUUUUUUCUUCUAAUCAAACUUGCUCUAUUAUAUAUUAUCUAAAAUUCAAUGUGUUAGUGUAUGAAAAGCUUAUCAAUCAAUUUCUUCCUCUCUUUUUCUCUCUCUCGCUCUUCCAGAGCAGUUUAGCGGUGUUAACAACAUCAAUGGAAUCACGAGUUUUCAAAACAUGAAAUUGCCCAUUAAUUAUGGGCUAUAAUCAUAGAUUCGUAUCAUCACUUUAAUCAAAAGCUGCAACGAUGUUGACACCGUAGAUAAAUGUGAAAUUAUGAAUAAUAUUUUUCAGUGAUGAGCCAGUUUUUCUAUAUUGUUGGUAUAUAAAAACUUUUAUUUUGUACCUUCGCUCGAUUACAGUGGAAACAAAAACAUUUUUAUGAUAAUUUUGCCCAUCGAAUUGCAACUCGACUUGAUUAUUGCAAUAGAAAAAUUGUCAAAUUUUUUCGGAAAAUGCAUUUCCCACCAGGCAGUAUAGUGAACAAAUUUACAUACCCAACGAGCGUACAUCGAACUUUGUGUUUCACUCGAGAACUGAUGAAACAAACAACGCAAACACAAACGUUAUUCAGAUCCUUGAAGAAUUGUGUUCUAAGGGUUUGUACACUCCUCCUUUUAUAAUUCUCUUUCUUCUUUUACUUCUGUGAUUAAGCUCCAUCAUAUAUUACGUCCGAAUUUGAAGUACCGUUGCAUAAAAAACUUAUCGGAUUUUCCUUCUCUCUCACUCUUUCGGAGCAGAGUUUUUGGAAAUGGACAAGUGAUUGACUGACUCGAUGUCAGAGUGAGCGAGACUUACUUUCUACCUACUACUCGACACGGACCUAUCUUCUUGGCACUUGACCCAAAUUUUAUGAUACUGAGUGCUUUUGGUAUUGUUUUUGUCUUGAGGAACUCUUGGAACAUCUCAAAUAAUAUAUUAAAAACUUUUCAUAGCAGUCAUGGAAACAGCGGGACUUUGGAUGUCGAAAUCUGACAAAUUUUUCAAGAAUUUAGUGUAACUUAGAAGUUUCAUUUGAUAUAUUCAAUUUCGAUCUAAAAGCAUUUCGAACUGUAAAACAUAAUUUUCCGCAGUGUGGCAAUGUUAUAAACAAAUUGAAUAUCGCAGAGAUUGGAAGGAAAGUAAGAAACGAAACGAAGUCAUCGUAAUAAGAGCAAUAAGUUAUCUAAGAAUUUCAAUUUCAUAUUGGUUUUCUACUGAAACUAUGGGCAUAAUAAAUAAUUACAACGUGGGUGAAAAAUAUUCUGAUUUAUUCAUAAAAUCGACGGAUACGUACAUCCAUACUGUCGCAUGAAUCAAUGUCAUAAUUUGAUCAAAUUUUACGCGACUAUAAAACGAAAAAACCGUCCCUUAAGAAUAAAUUCUAAACGAAACUUAUAUGUUAAGUGUACAUUCUUUUAAAUGAAUAAUUCAUAACCAUUAAGUAGGGUAAAAAAAAAGAUUUAUAAAAAUAAGCCAAGAUGGAGUGCGAGAAUCGUACAAUGGAUCAUUAUAUUGAAUUUACAGGCAUGUCUAAACAUUAAUUCUAUACUUUUUGCACAAUUUCAAAAUAUGUUCGUUUCUCAAACACAUAGCAGAUAGGCCAAGUCGGUUGAUAAUGAACAACCUUUUUUGAUGAGUUUUUACAAAGCUGAUGCAUUCUAACGAAACCUUAUAUAGCUUGAUCAAUAAUCUAAAGCCUCUAUCGGGGUCGUCGUUUUUUUGAAUCUUGGAUGAAUUUCUCUGUUUGAUGAUAUUGAAUUUUGCAUUGUCGAAAAGGAUUAAAAUUUAUUAUAUUUUCAUUUGAAAAUUGUCAACAAUUUCAUAAUUAGUGAAGUUUAUAAUAAAGUUUUAAUGGAAAACAAUAACCAAUUCUCGCAGCUCCGAUGGAAAAAUGAGAAAAAAAGUAAAUGCAUGAAUUUAAAAAAACUCGUCAAAUUUCACGAUCCAAAUUUCAAUAUCAACUUUUUUUUUUGGAUAUUAAUAUUUACACCAGUCAAAAGGGCAAAAUAAU